AGUAAAGUGGCGUACGGGUGAGUAACACGUGGAUUAUCUACCUCUUAGUGGGGAAUAACUUUGGGAAACCGAAGCUAAUACCGCAUAAGCCUGGAAAGGGAAAGUCGCAAGACGCUGAGAGAGGAGUCCGCGGCAGAUUAGCUAGUUGGCAGGGUAAAAGCCUACCAAGGCUAUGAUCGGUAGCCGGCCUGAGAGGGCACACGGCCACACUGGCACUGAAACACGGGCCAG
rnacentral:rRNA from 1 species